rnacentral:rRNA from 1 species
GUAGGUGGCAAGCGUUGUCCGGAAUUAUUGGGCGUAAAGCGCGCGCAGGUGGUUCUUUAAGUCUGAUGUGAAAGCCCCCGGCUCAACCGGGGAGGGUCAUUGGAAACUGGGGAACUUGAGUGCAGGAGAGGAAAGUGGAAUUCCACGUGUAGCGGUGAAAUGCGUAGAUAUGUGGAGGAACACCAGUGGCGAAGGCGACUUUCUGGCCUGUAACUGACACUGAGGCGCGAAAGCGUGGGGAGCAAACAGGGAUUAGAUACCCUGGUAGUCCACGCCGUAAACGAUGAGUGCUAAGUGUUGGGGGGGUUUCCCGCCCCGUCAGUGCUGCAGCUAACGCAUUAAGCACUCCGCCUGGGGAGUACGGUCGCAAGACUG